rnacentral:rRNA from 1 species
AACGAACGCUGGCGGCAUGCCUAACACAUGUAAGUCGAACGAACCCUUCGGGGUUAGUGGCGCACGGGUGCGUAACGCGUGGGGAUCUGCCCAAAGGUUCGGAAUAACUCAGAGAAAUUUGAGCUAAUACCGGAUAAUGUCUUCGGACCAAAGAUUUAUUGCCUUUGGAUGAACCCGCGUAGGAUUAGCUUGUUGGUGGGGUAAAGGCCUACCAAGGCGACGAUCCUUAGCUGGUCUGAGAGGAUGAUCAGCCACACUGGGACUGAGACACGGCCCAGACUCCUACGGGAGGCAGCAGUGGGGAAUAUUGGACAAUGGGCGAAAGCCUGAUCCAGCAAUGCCGCGUGAGUGAUGAAGGCCUUAGGGUUGUAAAGCUCUUUUACCAGGGAUGAUAAUGACAGUACCUGGAGAAUAAGCUCCGGCUAACUCCGUGCCAGCAGCCGCGGUAAUGUCUAUCAUG